UACAGAGGUCUCAAGCGUUGUUCGGAUUCAUUGGGCGUAAAGGGUGCGUAGGUGGCGCCGUAAGUCGGGUCGUGAAAUUUCGGAGCUUAACUCCGAAACUGCAUUCGAUACUGCGGUGCUUGAGGACUGGAGAGGAGACUGGAAUUCAUGGUGUAGCAGUGAAAUGCGUAGAGAUCAUGAGGAAGACCGUGGCGAAGGCGGGUCUCUGGACAGUUCCUGACAGCUGAGACACGAAGGCCAGGGGAGCAAACGGG
rnacentral:rRNA from 1 species